AAGCGCUUGCAGCCAGACGUGCCCGUAGUUGCUCAUCGGGGGUUCUCCCCCGUGUACUCUUCUAUGGGCAGGCCAGCAUCAGUCCGGGCGGUUGGAGAAAGACCUGUGUCAUGUAGCUGUUUUCGGGCAGUGUUAUAGCCCAUUGUGUAAUACCCUGUGGUGGACUGAGGUUCGCGCAUCUGCAAGGAUGCUGGCGUAAUGG
rnacentral:rRNA from 1 species